rnacentral:rRNA from 1 species
UGGGGAAUUUUGGACAAUGGGCGAAAGCCUGAUCCAGCAAUGCCGCGUGUGUGAAGAAGGCCUUCGGGUUGUAAAGCACUUUUGUCCGGAAAGAAAUCCUUGGCUCUAAUACAGUCGGGGGAUGACGGUACCGGAAGAAUAAGCACCGGCUAACUACGUGCCAGCAGCCGCGGUAAUACGUAGGGUGCAAGCGUUAAUCGGAAUUACUGGGCGUAAAGCGUGCGCAGGCGGUUUGCUAAGACCGAUGUGAAAUCCCCGGGCUCAACCUGGGAACUGCAUUGGUGACUGGCAGGCUAGAGUAUGGCAGAGGGGGGUAGAAUUCCACGUNUAGCAGUGAAAUGCGUAGAGAUGUGGAGGAAUACCGAUGGCGAAGGCAGCCCCCUGGGCCAAUACUGACGCUCAUGCACGAAAGCGUGGGGAGCAAACAGGAUUAGAUACCCUGGUAGUCCACGCCCUAAACGAUGUCAACUAGUUGUUGGGGAUUCAUUUCCUUAGUAACGUAGCUAACGCGUGAAGUUGACCGCCUGGGGAGUACGGUCGCAAGAUUAAAACUUAAAGGAAUUGACGGGGUCAUAGCUGUUUCC